GAACACGAGUGAACACGAGUGAACACGAGUGAACACGAGACAACACGAGUGAACACGAGUCAAUUUUUGACUCAUGUUCACUCGUGUUCGUCAUUUUUGACUCGUGUUCACUCGUGUUCGUCAGUUUUUGACUCGUGUUCACAAAUUUUUGACUCGUGUUCACUCGUGUUC